CACGGGCUGCUCCCAGCCUGGCCUUGGACACUUCCAGCCGCUGCUCCUUCCCCCACCGGCAGCUGGAGGGGAACGUUUCCUUCUCCUUCUUUUCCUUUCUUUUCCUUCUCCGUGCAUUCGGGUCUCGGCUUCUCCGAGCAUCUGCCGCGGAGCACCGGGAGCAGUCGCGGCUCCAGCCCGUUCUGUGCUCUCCCCACCCGGCCUGAGAUACGGACAAAAGGAUUAGCUGCAGCAUUUCCUAUCAAGCCCAGAUUAAAACAGCAAAUCUCUUUGUUGCAUAUCAUAUGCCAGCAAUCUCCAUUUAUGGUCUGAAAAUACUUCAUAAUCCUAUUUGCUGUUCGGCUCGGAGACAAUAGGGCCCUUUGGAUUUGGUUUCAUUUCUUUGGAAAGUGCUAGAUAUUUCUGCUAGCCUGAGAUACACAAUCACUGCACUGAGGGCAAAGCCAAACCAAAAAAAAAAAAAAGCAGCAACAAACCAUCACCAAAGACAACCCAGAGCCUCGGGCAGUAUUGUCAAGGAUGAACGGUACCAACCCAGCAUCAUAAGAGUGCUAAAGGUAAAACUCUGCCCCAGGUGUGACCUAGGACCUGCCUGGUGAAUUCCUCCCAGCGGAGAACCACUCUCAGAUUCCAACUCAAAGUUAAAAUGGCUGUAAGGAAGGAAAAGAGAAAGCUGGUUUUCCUCAGGAACUCUUCCUCACCAAGAUGCUCCGGUAGAAGCAAGGCACACUGCAUCCAACUUGUCACUCCUGGAGUUGAAGCAAGGAAAAUAACACAGAAGGGCCAGCAUGGAAUAUCUGUUCUUGGACAUAUCUCCCAAAGAUUUGGGAAUGCUGACACUGUUGGGAUUGUUCUUCAUGGGUGAGGAUGAACCUCUCAGUCCCGGGUGGGAAGCAGUACAAAGCCUGCCUGGAUUCCAUCUUGAGGACAUUUGUUUUAACAGUAGAAAGAAUAUUAGACUCAUAAAUGUGAGUGCUGCAGUGCAGUGGGUGACUCCUCAAGAUUUAUCAAAGCAAGAUAAUUAGGAUGAACAAUAAGACUGAGUUUCUUGGUAGUAAUUUUUGCCACAGGACAACUCUGCAUUAUGCCACGUUAAUCUACCUUGAAGUAUGGGCUGGGAAGUGCAAGAGCAGGAUUCCUUUGGGCUCCUGGCCUGUGAGUCUCUGAGCUACACUUUUGUUGAAGGCCAUACCAGUGAAACUGUGACAGUAGCUGAGAGCUGUCUGAACACUACCACUUAAUUUUAAAAGUAAGCAGUCAGAAAGUGUUGGGGUGUGUGGUAAGACAUGGGGCUGGUUUGCUUUUUAAACAGCUAUAGCUGCUGAAAUAGUUGGGUUUGAAGGAAGGGCUUGUAAUGGAAAUGAGAAUUGUGACAUUCCAUUUUUAAAAAGCUUGUGCCCCGCUUCAUCACCAUGAGAGACUUAAGCUUUCAGACAUUUAGCCACAAUGUUUCUAUCUGUGCUGAUCACACUUAAAAUUAAUAUAAUUUUACUGAAAAUCCAAGAAGUUUCCUAGAAAUUUGCCUUUUAUUCUCUUCUCUACUUCCAAUAUCUAGAUGUCACUCCAUCUGUCACAGAGGUUGCCAUUUGAUACCAGUCUGUUCAUAGAAUCCCAGAAUGGUUUGGGUGUGAAGAGACCUUAAAUCCCAUCCUGUUCCACCCCCUGUCAUGGCAGGGGCACUUCCCACUAUCCCAGGCUGCUCCAAGCCCUGCCCAGCCUGGCCUUGGACACUUCCAGGGAUCCAGGGGCAGCCACAGCUUCUCUGGGCACCCUGUGCCAGGGCCUCACCACCCUCACAGAGAAGAAUUCCUUACCAAUAUAUAACUUGAAUUUCGGCUCUUUCAGCUUGAACCCAUUUCCCCUUGUCAUGUCCCUCCAGUUCCUGAUGAGGGGUCCCUCUCCAGCUUCUCUGUAGCCCCUUCAGACCCUGGAAAGGGCUGUGAGGUCUCCACACAACUUUGUCCUCUCCUGGAUGAACAGCCCCUGCUCUCUCAGCCUGUAUCCAUAGGGGAGGUGUUCCUGUCCUCUGGG